GCAUCGGUGGUUUACUGGUAGAAUGCACGCCUGCCAUACGGGCGGCCCGGGUUCGAUUCUGAGUCAAUGCA